UCGGGAAUUUUGGGCAAUGGGCGAAAGCCUGACCCAGCAACGCCGCGUGAAGGAUGAAAUCCCUCGGGAUGUAAACUUCGCAAGAACAGGAAGAAUAAACCGGUGCCAACACCACCGGCGAUGACGGUACUGUUUGUAAGCUCCGGCUAACUCCGUGCCAGCAGCCGCGGUAAUACGGGGGGAGCAAGCGUUGUUCGGAUUUACUGGGCGUAAAGGGCGCGUAGGCGGCCACCGCAAGUCGGUUGUGAAAUCUCUGGGCUUAACCCAGAAAGGUCAACCGAUACUGCGGGGCUAGAGUGCAGAAGGGGCAACUGGAAUUCUCGGUGUAGCGGUGAAAUGCGUAGAUAUCGAGAGGAACACCUGCGGCGAAGGCGGGUUGCUGGGCUGACACUGACGCUGAAGCGCGAAAGCUAGGGGAGCGAACGGGAUUAGAUACCCCGGUAGUCCUAGCCCUAAACGAUGAGUGCUAGGUGUCUGGGGUUUUAUAGUCCCCGGGUGCCGUCGCUAACGCUUUAAGCAUUCCGCCUGGGGAGUACGGUCGCAAGACUGA
rnacentral:rRNA from 1 species